UGAAGCAGUGCCUUGGUAUGUAGCUCAUACUGGCCGUGAACCCACCUCUUCCUGAAUUUUUCACUUAUGUGCUGGAGUUACUCAUGUUUGAGGAAUCCAACAUGGUAUGAUGUUAGAUUUUUAUGGAGUGAUAAAGGGCAGAAGCAAGAACAGAAUACUCUGUAGUGAUUAGGUGUACUCAGCUGGGUUUCUUAUGGAGGGACCCUGUGAGUCAAGUCUCCUGGCAGAUCAAGCACAUGCUCGAAACAGUAGUGUAGGGUCCUUGACUUGAAUAUAUAGAAGAGGAUGAUGGAAACAUUCUGAGAAUUGUAUCCAGAGGGAGAGACAUGAGACAUGGGGAACUAUAAGGAGGAUACUGAUGCUGUAUGAGCAUGGGGAUCAGCAUCACAGGCCUGGAACUGUGUGAAGAUACAAUGCCCUGUACAUAUGUCUGGUCUAAGAGCACAUGACUUUAGCCGAGGUCUGUCUGUGUUGAAGUCUGUGGCCCAUUUUGCCACUGAGAGCCAUGUGGUUGCCUGGGGUCAGGACAGCCACCUAAGUCCAUGUUGGUGGCUGAGAGACAUGCUGAAGCUGGGGCCAUGUAGAUCUUCGUGGCCUAUGCUGCUGCUCAAUCCCAUGAUGACUUCUGGGCCAGAGCUGCAGCUAAGGGCUAUGUCUAGGUUUGCAGUCAGGGUACCCAAGGUUGGUGCCCAAGGUUCCUGUUACCAUUGAAGGCCAUGUGGAUGCCAGAGAAUCGGGAACCAUGUUAGCAUUCAAGAGCCAUCCUGCUUCUGGGGCCAUGCUGAUCUGUAUGGCCUACACUGCCACCUGGGACAAUGGUGACAUCCAGAUUCAGCUGCUACUGAAGGACAAGUCUGGGUCAUGUGGUCCCACUACAGCCAGUGUCUAUGUAGCCAACAAAGGAUACAUGGAAGGCCAGGGUCAGAGCUGCAACCUGUGGCCUUGUUGGUUUCCAGAGGCCAUGAUUACCACCAGAGCCAACCUCAUCUGAGUGGCCUAUGCUUCCACCUAGAGCCAGGGUGUUGCCUGGGUCCAAGCUGCUGCCCAAUGCCAUGUCUAGGUACUUGGUCCUGCUGCAUUUAGGGGCCUGUUUUGAUGUCUCUGGACUGUGCUGCCUCAGGGGACCAUGGGAACCAGAGGGCCAUGGUGAGCUGGCCCUGUACUUCUGGCCCUGGGAUAGUUGACCCUGCCCCUCACUGGAUGCUACAGCAAGAGAGCUGGCACCAACUGUCAUGGGAGUGCUUCUCCCCUGACUCUCAAACUAGGGAGAAAUGGCCCCACACCUCACCACAGGUGAAGGAGAGCUGGCCAUGAUGGCAUGGGCAUAGGAGUGUUGGGUCCACCCCUGUGACCCUAGUGGCCUGGACUAACCAGUUCAACUCCAGGCCCACAGUGGAGCCUGGAGUUGGCACACCUUAACAUUUACCCCAUCUGGGACCUACUGGAGCUUGUGAAGGGACUGGUCCUGUGGAAUGAUAUCCGAAGGCUCAUCAUGACUCUGGAGGGGAGUUUCCAUGAGGAUCCAGUGAUGAUGGUGUACCAGAAACCAGAGGACUUGAACCAAACCAAUGAACAUUUGCAAAUAAAGCUGAUUAAACAAAAGGACAUACUAUGUGACAUACUGAAGCUCCCAAUGCCACCAGGACAAAUGAAGAAGUGUUCGAAAGACAGGGAAAAUGGAGGAACAAAGAGGGUUUUUGUUUGUUUGUUUUUGUUUUUGUUCUUCCCCUUUUAGUUUUUGUCUGUUUGCUUGUUUUAGUUUCAUUUGAUUUUUUAAAAAAAUUUUAUUGGGGGACACUGCAGGGGGAAGGGGAGAAUAUAGAGGAACUGGGAGGUAAUCAGAAUCGGGAUGCAUGAUGUGAAAAUCCCAAAGAUUCAAUACAGAAAUUAUAUUUAGUUACAAAAGUUAAACAAAGAGAAAAAAAA
rnacentral:lncRNA from 1 species